AAUGUGAAGGUGCUGCAUGGUUGUCGUCAGCUCGUGCCGUGAGGUGUCGGCUUAAGUGCCAUAACGAGCGCAACCCUUAUCUUCAGUUACUAACAGGUCAUGCUGAGGACUCUGGAGAGACUGCCGUCGUAAGAUGUGAGGAAGGUGGGGAUGACGUCAAAUCAGCACGGCCCUUACGUCCGGGGCUACACACGUGUUACAAUGGGGGGUACAGAAGGCAGCUACCGGGCGACCGGAUGCCAAUCCCAAAAACCUCUCUCAGUUCGGAUCGAAGUCUGCAACCCGACUUCGUGAAGCUGGAUUCGCUAGUAAUCGCGCAUCAGCCAUGGCGCGGCGAAUACGUUCCCGGGCCUUGUACACACCGCCCGUCAAGCCAUGAAAGCCGGGGGUACCUGAAGUACGUAACCGCAAGGAGCGUCCUAGGGUAAAACUGGUAAUUGGGGCUAAGUCGUAACAAGGUAGCCGUACCGGAAGGUGCGGCUGGAUCACCUC
rnacentral:rRNA from 1 species